AGCACAUCGUCAGGAAAGUGAAGUUUGUGAUGUCCAUCACCUUUUAGCGUCGUGGAUAAAAGCGCAUAAAUAUCAGGGUUGCAAUCAUUAAUGAUAACGAUUAUCUUUAUCAAUACCGAGUGGUUGAGUUUAUAACCCACCUGUUCGGUACGACAUUGCUCACAUUGCUUCCAGUAUUAUUUGCCCGCCUCACCGAGUGCGGGCUUUUUUU
rnacentral:sRNA from 1 species